GGGAACAACAGCUGGAAACGGCUGCUAAUACCCCAUAGGCUGAGGAGCUAAAGGAGGAAUCCGCCCAAGGAGGGGCUCGCGUCUGAUUAGUUAGUUGGUGAGGCAAUGGCUUACCAAGGCGACGAUCAGUAGCUGGUCCGAGAGGAUGAUCAGCCACACUGGGACUGAGACACGGCCAAGACUCCUACGGGAGGCAGCAGUGGGGAAUUUUCCGCAAUGGGCGAAAGCCUGACGGAGCAAUGCCGCGUGAAGGCAGAAGGGCCACGGGUCAUGAACUUCUUUUCUCGGAGAAGAAAAAAUGACGGUAUCUGAGGAAUAAGCAUCGGCUAACUCUGUGCCAGCAGCCGCGGUAAGACAGAGGAUGCAAGCGUUAUCCGGAAUGAUUGGGCGUAAAGCGUCUGUAGGUGGCUUUUCAAGUCCGCCGUCAAAUCCCAGGGCUCAACCCUGGGACAGGCGGUGGAAACUACCAAGCUGGAG
rnacentral:rRNA from 1 species